rnacentral:ribozyme from 15 species
UAUAGGAUAAUAAACAUACCAAGGAAUAGAAAAGGGCAAAAAGAUUUCUCUCGAUCACUUUCUAUUUCUUCUUUUUACCUUUGUUCUUUUUCUUCUUUUGUUGUUCUUUUUCUUCUUC